rnacentral:ncRNA from 2 species
ACGCCGUACUCUGGAGAGCGGCACCCGCCAUUGCUGAAUCAAUGGUGAGCGUGCCCACCGAAGGGGCGCGCAAGGCCUGGGUCCUGGUUUAGCCGGGGCCGCCUUGUAAUCUCUCAGGUAUCGAGGACAGAGGGGUCAUC